AGGCUGAACAAGAAGCAUGGCUGAGGAAGCCUCAAGAAAUUUACAAUCAUGGCAGGAGGUGAAGAGGGAGGUGACACGCCUUACAUGGCUGAAGCAGGAGGAAGAGAGAGCAAAAGGGAAGAUGCUACGUACUUUUAAACAAUCAGAUCUGAUACUGUCUUCAUGCGAACUUGGUAUCCUGUUUCCAUCCCAGCCUUCUAUAACCCAGUAACAUCUUUUUUGAAACCAGUGGGUGAGAAAGACACCUGGUCAGGAACGCGGACCACAGGACAACUCAGGCUCACCCACGGCAUCAGACUAAAGGCAAACAAGGACUCUGUAUAAAGUACCGGUGGCAUGUGUAUUAGUGGAGAUGCAGCCUGUGCUCUGCAGACAGGGAGUCACACAGACACUUUUCUAUAAUUUCUUAAGUGCUUUGAAUGUUCAAGUAGAAAGUCUAACAUUAAAUUUGAUUGAACAAUUGUAUAUUCAUGGAAUAUUUUGGAACGGAAUACCAAAAAAUGGCAAUAGUGGUUCUUUCUGGAUGGAAGACAAACUUUUCUUCUUUAAAAUAAAUUUUAUUUUAUAUAUUUGAGGUUGACCACAUGACCUUAAGGAUACAUAUAGACAGUAAACUGGUUACUACAGUGAAGCAAAUUAACAUAUCUACCAUCGUACAUAGUUACAUUUUUUUGUGUGACAGGAACAGCUAAAAUCUACGUAUUUAACAAAACUCCUAAAGACAAUACAUUUUUAUUAACUAUAGCCCUCAUGAUGUACAUUAGAUCUCUAACUUGAUCAUCC
rnacentral:lncRNA from 1 species